GUUAGCCCCCAAGAGCUCCUUACUCCAUUUCAAAUACGCAUUGACUUAAUCCAGCUGGAACACAGCCUGGGACAUGGAGGGGGCUCUGUGGGGCCUUCCAAACUAGAUAAAUGUAAUAACUAAGAGACCUCUCACGAACCCAUCAGCCUCUCCAGGCCCCUAUUGAAACCCAAUAACUUGUGCUCCUGUCUGUGCCCGUCUUCUCUCGUCAGUCAUCUCUGGUUUGAGGGAAGAUACCCUGCCUCUCCGGGGAUAACUGCAGUCUGGAUAUGGAGACCAAGAAUUCCUCAGGAGGAAAGGGGAAGUGAGAGCCCCAGAGAUCAACUCAAGCCCAGUUCUGGGGGCUAUGCAAAGACAGACCAACCCUCCAGGGUAGGCAUAUCUACCAUUCGCAAAUGGGGACAAAGAGAUCCCACCAUAACUGACUGACAGGAAAAUAGGCUCAUGGAUUGACAUUAUCACCAUAAACCAGCACUUGGAUAAUUCAGCCUAUCACAGGCCCUGGUACUUGUCCAAAAAAAUUCAACCCCAAAGUAAAGAUUUCUAUGGAGGAAAAUGCUAAUGCAC